rnacentral:tRNA from 1 species
AAAUAAGAAGUAAUAAUUUACAUAUUAAUUUCGACUUAAUAAUAGAUUUAAUUUAAUCCUUAUUUU